ensembl:lncRNA
ACGUAUUACUUAUUCGAACAAUCAAUGGACAUUUGGAGACGAAUGAGCGGGAGGACCGUUGUCAAUCAAGGGUCAGCGCUAUCCGGGAUCCUUGGGACAUACACCAUUGAAGUUGACAUGUGAAAGGGUAAGGGUAAGGGUAAGGGUUAGGUUAUGGGUUAAGGUUAGGGUAUGGGUUAAGGUUAGGGUUAGGGUUUAGGGCAGUGAUCGCACUGCCAGUCAAUCAAGUAGGCCAGAGCGCGCAGAGAGCCGAUUAUGACGUGUCCUGGGCUCCUUCUACGCAACAAUGUAAAUAACGGUGUAAUUGCCGUUUUCAACACAGUGGCUCAUUUGCAAAGUUUCACUUGCUCUUGCAACAUCUGAUUUUACAGACUGCGACAAUUACUAUAGCCUAUGAUUGCAAGACUCCGGUAAGUAGAAGGCCAUUUAUAUCUGUGAUAAAAUGCCUGGUUUUAGUCAAUAGGCCUAUUUGUUUAAAAGUAGGCUAAUUUGAAAUCAAUAAAUAAAUCUCACUUGCCUAAAAGUAGGCUAAUUUGAAAUCAAUAAAUAAAUCUCACUUGCCCCCCCCCCCCCCCCCCCCCCCCCCUCUCAGUCAUGCCUAGGAGAAGCGCGAGGCUAGUAACCGGAGGGUACUAUAACCAGUCCUCCGAUGAUGAGUCUUCCUCCUGCAUCUCCUACAGGGAGAGCCCCGUCAGGUGAAUAUCUGUAUGAGUGCAUCUUGCGUGUGAUCUUUUUUGCAUUGAACGGUAGUGUUAGAACAGUGUUAAAACUGUGUGUGUCCCUCUCAGGGUUUUCAAUAAGAAGAGAACUGGGGGACAUAAGGAUUCUUCCCGAUCCAGUCAGGCCAGCAGCACUGUCAGUGCCACCAACUUCACCAAUGAGCGAAACAUCAAUGCUGAUGACAUUGAUUUGUCUCCAACAUUGAGGGUCACCCAGAGAAGGCAGACCUUCCUGUCUCCUCCUAGUGUGGCCCCCAGUGUGGCCCUGGACCCCAGCCUGAGCUUCUCAAGCAUGAGCUACUGCUCUGAAGAGCCACAAAGGCCUAGGACAUGCUCCAGCAGGAGCUUCUCUAGUGGAAUUGGCACAAGGACCGAUGCUAUUUUCAGUGAGUGCAAUGUGUAUGUGUUUGUGUACGAGAGACAACAUUAGAGACAGCUGGUCUCUAUACUCGUAGUUUGUUAGCAUUAGCAUUAGCUGAGCGUUAGCUUUUCUCUCUGCUUGUGCCUUGUUUGUUAGCAUUAGUAUUAGCUUUGGCCCUAUGUGUUUCCCCCUGUAGCCCGUUCAUGGUUGCCUUCCUGGUUUGCCAUCCUGCUCUUCCUCCUCCCCUUUCUUCUGACCUUCGGUGAGUGCUACAUCACAUGUUUACACAUCUAAAUGUCCUCCUAAUCAACUAGAUGUCGUCUGUGUAACUAGUACUACAAUGUCUUCCCAGCCGUAUUCCUGUUUUCGACUGCAUUCCCCACCAUGAACCUUAAUCUGAUGACCCGACCGACUCAACCUGACCCUCGACCUGAUCUGACUCAAAAGACUACGGUAGGACCUGUUUUUCAUCUGUCUAAUACUGUACUUAGCCCUACUGUUUGUCUCAUGUCUAUUAUCUAUGCAUUGAUUGGGUGAAUGUUGCAUUGAAGUUAUGAGCCUGAUUGUCCAAUAAGGACUUGUUGAAUCUCUUUCUACAGCAUGGAACUCCUAUCAUGAAUUCAGCUUUCGAAAUGCAAAUGGAUACUAUACUGGUGAGAGAGCGAGGGAGAGAGAGAGAGAGAGAGAGAGAAAGUGAGAGAAGGGGAGGGGGGGGGGGGGGGGGGGGGGGGUGGAGCAUACCGAAAAUAGGUUGGAGACAAUUCUAUUUUAAUUCCAUCACUUCAGGGAAGUACACAAACAUUCAAAUUCCUAGUCUCUUAUGCUUUUCAAUUCUGAACAUUUUUCAUUUAAAUUGGAGUUUGGUUCACUUUCUCAAUUGACUAGAAUUGAAAUGGAAUUGACCUCAAUCAUGAUGGACAUGUUGCAUGUGUGUGUGUGUCUUGCAGAGAGAGAUUGAAAUUAUGAAACAGAAAGAAAACCAGCAACAGGACAUUUCCGAGGUGAGACACGUCAAUCUAACCCUUUAAAUAGACAUACCUUCAAAGUUUAAAAACACUGCCCAAUGUUGUGUUUCGUCCAAUAUUCUUUAAUUUAGGUGUCAAUAAUUGCCUCUCAGGAAGGAAUGAAGAUAAUUUAAUUGAGUUUGUCUUACCCUAUAGAUGUUACAAAGAAUGACUAAGGACCUGAGGUGUGUGAAGACCGAGAUUGACGACAUGAGAGUGAGGGUGGACAGGUGAGUGUGUGCCAGUCCUGAAACAAGCUCAGUGCCUUGCCCCUAGCUCCUAGCCCCUAACC